UACGAACUGUGCAACCGUUAUUCGGAAUCACUGGGCUUAAAGGGUGCGUAGGCGGCUUGUUAAGUAGGGUGUGAAAUCCCCCGGCUCAACCGGGGAAUUGCGCCCUAAACUGGCGAGCUGGAGUGAGAUAGGGGUGUGUGGAACUUCCAGUGGAGCGGUGAAAUGUGUUGAUAUUGGAAGGAACGCCAGUGGCGAAAGCGGCAUACUGGACCACAUCUGACGCUGAGGCGCGAAAGCCAGGGGAGCGAACGGG
rnacentral:rRNA from 1 species